AUUGAACGCUGGCGGCAGGCCUAACACAUGCAAGUCGAACGAGUGGCGGACGGGCGAGUAAUGUCUGGGCAACUGCCCGAUGGAGGGGGAUAACUACUGGAAACGGUAGCUAAUACCGCAUACCAUCGGAUGUGCCCAGGUGGGAUUAGCUAGUAGGUGUGGUAACGGCUCACCUAGGCGACGAUCCCUAGCUGGUCUGAGAGGAUGACCAGCCACACUGGAACUGAGACACGGUCCAGACUCCUACGGGAGGCAGCAGUGGGGAAUAUUGCACAAUGGGCGAAAGCCUGAUGCAGCAAUGCCGCGUGUAUGAAGAAGGCCUUCGGGUUGUAAAGUACUUUUGGCGGGGAGGCGGUACUCGCAGAAGAAGCACCGGCUAACUACGUGCCAGCAGCCGCGGUAAUAC
rnacentral:rRNA from 1 species